rnacentral:rRNA from 1 species
AAAUUGAAGAGUUUGAUCAUGGCUCAGAUUGAACGCUGGCGGCAGGCCUAACACAUGCAAGUCGAACGGUAACAGGAAACAGCUUGCUGUUUCGCUGACGAGUGGCGGACGGGUGAGUAAUGUCUGGGAAACUGCCUGAUGGAGGGGGAUAACUACUGGAAACGGUAGCUAAUACCGCAUAACGUCGCAAGACCAAAGAGGGGGACCUUCGGGCCUCUUGCCAUCGGAUGUGCCCAGAU